UACGGGGGGAGCAAGCGUUGUUCGGAUUUACUGGGCGUAAAGGGCGCGUAGGCGGUCGUGACAAGUCACUUGUGAAAUCUCCGGGCUUAACUCGGAACGGUCAAGUGAUACUGUCGGACUAGAGUACAGAAGGGGCAACUGGAAUUCUCGGUGCAGCGGCGAAAUGCGUAGAUAUCGAGAGGAACACCUGCGGCGAAGGCGGGUUGCUGGGCUGAUACUGACGCUGAGGCGCGAAAGCCAGGGGAGCGAACGGG
rnacentral:rRNA from 1 species